GAAUGCUGACAUAAGUAACGAUAAAGCGGGUGAAAAGCCCGCUCGCCGGAAGACCAAGGGUUCCUGUCCAACGUUAAUCGGGGCAGGGUGAGUCGACCCCUAAGGCGAGGCCGAAAGGCGUAGUCGAUGGGAAACAGGUUAAUAUUCCUGUACUUGGUGUUACUGCGAAGGGGGGACGGAGAAGGCUAUGUUGGCCGGGCGACGGUUGUCCCGGUUUAAGCGUGUAGGCUGAUUUUCCAGGCAAAUCCGGAAAAUCAAGGCUGAGGCGUGAUGACGAGGCACUACGGUGCUGAAGCAACAAAUGCCCUGCUUCCAGGAAAAGCCUCUAAGCAUCAGGUAACAUCAAAUCGUACCCCAAACCGACACAGGUGGUCAGGUAGAGAAUACCAAGGCGCUUGAGAGAACUCGGGUGAAGGAACUAGGCAAAAUGGUGCCGUAACUUCGGGAGAAGGCACGCUGAUAUGUAGGUGAAGCGACUUGCUCGUGGAGCUGAAAUCAGUCGAAGAUACCAGCUGGCUGCAACUGUUUAUUAAAAACACAGCACUGUGCAAACACGAAAGUGGACGUAUACGGUGUGACGCCUGCCCGGUGCCGGAAGGUUAAUUGAUGGGGUUAGCGGUAACGCGAAGCUCUUGAUCGAAGCCCCGGUAAACGGCGGCCGUAACUAUAACGGUCCUAAGGUAGCGAAAUUCCUUGUCGGGUAAGUUCCGACCUGCACGAAUGGCGUAAUGAUGGCCAGGCUGUCUCCACCCGAGACUCAGUGAAAUUGAACUCGCUGUGAAGAUGCAGUGUACCCGCGGCAAGACGGAAAGACCCCGUGAACCUUUACUAUAGCUUGACACUGAACAUUGAGCCUUGAUGUGUAGGAUAGGUGGGAGGCUUUGAAGUGUGGACGCCAGUCUGCAUGGAGCCGACCUUGAAAUACCACCCUUUAAUGUUUGAUGUUCUAACGUUGGCCCGUUAUCCGGGUUGCGGACAGUGUCUGGUGGGUAGUUUGACUGGGGCGGUCUCCUCCUAAAGAGUAACGGAGGAGCACGAAGGUUGGCUAAUCCUGGUCGGACAUCAGGAGGUUAGUGCAAUGGCAUAAGCCAGCUUGACUGCGAGCGUGACGGCGCGAGCAGGUGCGAAAGCAGGUCAUAGUGAUCCGGUGGUUCUGAAUGGAAGGGCCAUCGCUCAACGGAUAAAAGGUACUCCGGGGAUAACAGGCUGAUACCGCCCAAGAGUUCAUAUCGACGGCGGUGUUUGGCACCUCGAUGUCGGCUCAUCACAUCCUGGGGCUGAAGUAGGUCCCAAGGGUAUGGCUGUUCGCCAUUUAAAGUGGUACGCGAGCUGGGUUUAGAACGUCGUGAGACAGUUCGGUCCCUAUCUGCCGUGGGCGCUGGAGAACUGAGGGGGGCUGCUCCUAGUACGAGAGGACCGGAGUGGACGCAUCACUGGUGUUCGGGUUGUCAUGCCAAUGGCACUGCCCGGUAGCUAAAUGCGGAAGAGAUAAGUGCUGAAAGCAUCUAAGCACGAAACUUGCCCCGAGAUGAGUUCUCCCUGACUCCUUGAGAGUCCUGAAGGAACGUUGAAGACGACGACGUUGAUAGGCCGGGUGUGUAAGCGCAGCGAUGCGUUGAGCUAACCGGUACUAAUGAACCGUGAG
rnacentral:rRNA from 1 species